GGGCGAAUGGUCUAGGGGUAUGAUACUCCCUUCGCAUUUCCUGAAUUUAGGAGGUUAUUUGUGACUGGGAGGGGUCCGGGGUUCAAUUCCCCGUUCGUCCA